rnacentral:tRNA from 1 species
GCCCGAAUGGCGGAAUUGGUAGACGCGCUAGUUUCAGGGACUAGUUCCCGCAAGGGAGUGCAAGUUCGAGUCUUGUUUCGGGCACCA